GACGAACGCUGGCGGCGUGCCUAAUACAUGCAAGUUGAGCGAUGAAGCUUGGUGCUUGCACCAAUUUGAAGAGCAGCGAACGGGUGAGUAACGCGUGGGGAAUCUGCCUUUGAGCGGGGGACAACAUUUGGAAACGAAUGCUAAUACCGCAUAACAACUUUAAACAUAAGUUUUAAGUUUGAAAGAUGCAAUUGCAUCACUCAAAGAUGAUCCCGCGUUGUAUUAGCUAGUUGGUGAGGUAAAGGCUCACCAAGGCGAUGAUACAUAGCCAACCUGAGAGGGUGAUCGGCCACAUUGGGACUGAGACACGGCCCAAACUCCUACGGGAGGCAGCAGUAGGGAAUCUUCGGCAAUGGACGAAAGUCUGACCGAGCAACGCCGCGUGAGUGAAGAAGGUUUUCGGAUCGUAAAACUCUGUUGGUAGAGAAGAACGUUGGUGAGAGUGGAAAGCUCAUCAAGUGACGGUAACUACCCAGAAAGGGACGGCUAACUACGUG
rnacentral:rRNA from 1 species